rnacentral:ncRNA from 1 species
AAUUUGAACUGCACUCAAUAAGUUAGUCUGCUUUAAAAAUUAUUAUUUUAUAGGUUUGUUGGAUUCUGCUCUGAGCCGAAGAGGACCGAGACAGAAGG